UGGUGCUGGGAUUCCAACUCAGGUCUUCUGGACAAGCAGGGAAUGUUCUUAAUUACUGCUAUGUUCGUGCUAGACAGGUACUCUACCAGUUGAGCCACAUACC
rnacentral:sRNA from 1 species